GAUUUCUGGGAUUUUGGCCUUGGUCCGCCGGUUUACGCCGGUUGUGUUUGCCGAGGUUGGGUCUCAUCCUCCCGGAGUAUCUAGCCUGCCCUUUACUGGGUUGGGCUAGUGUGCUCUGGGACAUUUACUUUGAAAAAAUUAGAGUGUUUCAAGCAGGCUUUAUGCUAUGAAUACAUUAGCAUGGAAUAAUAAUUUAGGACUUCGGUUCUAUUUUGUUGGUUUCUAGGACUGAAGUAAUGAUUGAUAGGGAUAGUUGGGGGUGCUAGUAUUCAGCGGCCAGAGGUGAAAUUCUCGGAUUCGCUGAAGACUAACUUAUGCGAAAGCAUU
rnacentral:rRNA from 1 species